GAUGAACGCUGGCGGCGUGCCUAAUACAUGCAAGUCGAGCGAACGGACGAGAAGCUUGCUUCUCUGAUGUUAGCGGCGGACGGGUGAGUAACACGUGGAUAACCUACCUAUAAGACUGGGAUAACUUCGGGAAACCGGAGCUAAUACCGGAUAAUACUUUGAACCGCAUGGUUCAAAAGUGAAAGACGGUCUUGCUGUCACUUAUAGAUGGAUCCGCGCUGCAUUAGCUAGUUGGUAAGGUAACGGCUUACCAAGGCAACGAUGCAUAGCCGACCUGAGAGGGUGAUCGGCCACACUGGAACUGAGACACGGUCCAGACUCCUACGGGAGGCAGCAGUAGGGAAUCUUCCGCAAUGGGCGAAAGCCUGACGGAGCAACGCCGCGUGAGUGAUGAAGGUCUUCGGAUCGUAAAACUCUGUUAGUAGGGAAGAACAUAUGUGUAAGUAACUGUGCACAUCUUGACGGUACCUAAUCAGAAAGCCACGGCUAACUACGUG
rnacentral:rRNA from 1 species